UGAACGCUGGCGGCAGGCCUACCACAUGCAAGUCGAACGGUAACAGGAAGAAGCUUGCUUCUUUGCUGACGAGUGGCGGACGGGUGAGUAAUGUCUGGGAAACUGCCUGAUGGAGGGGGAUAACUACUGGAAACGGUAGCUAAUACCGCAUAACGUCGCAAGACCAAAGAGGGGGACCUUCGGGCCUCUUGCCAUCGGAUGUGCCCAGAUGGGAUUAGCUAGUAGGUGGGGUAACGGCUCACCUAGGCGACGAUCCCUAGCUGGUCUGAGAGGAUGACCAGCCACACUGGAACUGAGACACGGUCCAGACUCCUACGGGAGGCAGCAGUGGGGAAUAUUGCACAAUGGGCGCAAGCCUGAUGCAGCCAUGCCGCGUGUAUGAAGAAGGCCUUCGGGUUGUAAAGUACUUUCAGCGGGGAGGAAGGGAGUAAAGUUAAUACCUUUGCUCAUUGACGUUACCCGCAGAAGAAGCACCGGCUAACUCCGUG
rnacentral:rRNA from 1 species